rfam:Branchiostoma floridae genomic scaffold BRAFLscaffold_266, whole genome shotgun sequence.
GGAUAUGUGGAUUGUGUUCGGUACCACGGACAGGCAUGUUUGCCUGUACACGUGGAUUGUGUUCAGCACCAAGGACUGGCAUGUUUGCCU